rnacentral:rRNA from 1 species
AAUAGAUACCCUGGUAGUCCACGCCGUAAACGAUGAGUGCUAAGUGUUAGAGGGUUUCCGCCCUUUAGUGCUGCAGCAAACGCAUUAAGCACUCCGCCUGGGGAGUACGGUCGCAAGACUGAAACUCAAAGGAAUUGACGGGGGCCCGCACAAGCGGUGGAGCAUGUGGUUUAAUUCGAAGCAACGCGAAGAACCUUACCAGGUCUUGACAUCCUUCGCUACUUCUAGAGAUAGAAGGUUCCCCUUCGGGGGACGGAGUGACAGGUGGUGCAUGGUUGUCGUCAGCUCGUGUCGUGAGAUGUUGGGUUAAGUCCCGCAACGAGCGCAACCCUUGAUCUUAGUUGCCAGCAUUCAGUUGGGCACUCUAAGGUGACUGCCGGUGAUAAACCGGAGGAAGGUGGGGAUGACGUCAAAUCAUCAUGCCCCUUAUGACCUGGGCUACACACGUGCUACAAUGGAUGGUACAAAGGGCUGCAAGACUGCGAAGUCAAGCCAAUCCCAUAAAACCAUUCUCAGUUCGGAUUGCAGG